AGCAGCAGCCGCGGGAAUACGAAGGGGGCUAGCGUUGUUCGGAUUUACUGGGCGUAAAGCGCACGUAGGCGGACUUUUAAGUCAGGGGUGAAAUCCCGGGGCUCAACCCCGGAACUGCCUUUGAUACUGGGAGUCUUGAGUUCGAGAGAGGUGAGUAGAAUUGCGAGUGUAGAGGUGAAAUUCGUAGAUAUUCGCAGGAACACCAGUGGCGAAGGCGGCUCACUGGCUCGAUACUGACGCUGAGGUGCGAAAGCGUGGGGAGCAAACAGGAUUAGAUACCCGCGUAGUCCCUGUCUCUUAUAC
rnacentral:rRNA from 1 species